ACAUUGGUAGCACAGCGGCCAGCGCAGUCUGUCGGAAACAGAAAGACGCGAGUUCAAUCCCCGUCCGAUGUC
rnacentral:tRNA from 1 species